GGAGGUGUAGCUCAGUGGUAGAGCACUUGUCUGGCACACACAAGGCCCUGGGUUCCCUCCCCAGCACUGUAA
rnacentral:tRNA from 1 species